rnacentral:rRNA from 1 species
AGAGUUUGAUCAUGGCUCAGAGUGAACGCUGGCGGCAGGCCUAACACAUGCAAGUCGAACGGCAGCACAGGGGAGCUUGCUCCCUGGGUGGCGAGUGGCGGACGGGUGAGGAAUACGUCGGAAUCUGCCUUUUCGUGGGGGAUAACGUAGGGAAACUUACGCUAAUACCGCAUACGACCUACGGGUGAAAGCCGGGGACCUUUCGGGGCCUGGCGCGGAAAGAUGAGCCGACGUCGGAUUAGCUAGUUGGAGGGGUAACGGCCCACC